rnacentral:rRNA from 1 species
UUCCGGUUGAUCCUGCCGGACCCUACUGCUAUCGGGAUGGGACUAAGACAUGCUAGUCGUGCGCCUCCAAGCCAUGGUGGGGCGCGGCGCACAGCUCAGUAACACGUGGUUAACCUGCCCUUGGGACGGAAACACCCCCGGGAAACUGGGGCUAAUUUCCGAUAGGUGAAGGCUCCUGGAAUGGAUCUUCGCCUAAAGGGCGCUUAGGCCAUGCUUCUAGGCGCUGCCCAAGGAUGGGGCCGCGGCCGAUCAGGUUGUUGGUGAGGUAAUGGCUCACCAAGCCUUUAACCGGGUUCGGGCCGUGGGAGCGGGAGCCCGGAGAUGGGCACUGAGACAAGGGCCCAGGCCCUACGGGGCGCAGAGGUCGCGAAAACUCCGCAAUACGCGAAGGCGUGACGGGGCUAUCCCGAGUGCCGUCCGCUGAGGAUGGCUUUUCCCCUAGUGUAGAUAGCUGGGGGAAUAAGGAGAGGGCAAGCCUGGUGUCAGCCGCCGCGGUAAUACCAGCUCUCCGAGUGGUGGGGACGUUUAUUGGGCCUGAAGCAUCCGUAGCCAGCUGAGCAAGUCCCCAGUUAAAUCCAGCGAUUUAAUCGUUGGACUGCUGGGGAUACUGUCCGGCUAGGGGGUGGGAGAGGCCGACGGUAUUCCCGGGGUAGGGGUGAAAUCCUAUAAUCCCGGGAGGACCACCAGUGGCGAAGGCUGUUGGCUAAAACAUGCCCGACGGUGAGGGAUGAAAGCUGGGGGAGCGAACCGGAUUAGAUACCCGGGUAGUCCCAGCUGUAAACGAUGCAGGCUAGGUGUUAGGGCGGCCACGUGCCGCUCUAGUGCCGCAGGGAAGCUGUUAAGCCUGCCGCCUGCCGAGUACGGCCGCAAGGCUGAAACUUAAAGGAAUUGGCGGGA